rnacentral:rRNA from 1 species
UACGUAGGGUGCGAGCGUGUCCGGAAUUAUUGGGCGUAAAGGGCGCGUAGCGCCGCCUAAGUCAGACGUGAAAUCCCUCGGCUCAACCGGGGAACUGCGUCCGAAACUGGCAGGCUUGAAUCCGGGAGAGGGAUGUGGAAUUCCAGGUGUAGCGGUGAAAUGCGUAGAUAUCUGGAGGAACACCGGUGGCGAAGGCGGCAUCCUGGACCGGUAUUGACGCUGAGGCGCGAAAGCCAGGGGGAGCAAACGGG